UCUCCGUUGGUGAACCAGCGGAGGGAUCAUUACCGAGUUCCAGCAACUCCCAACCCUUGCGAACCGUACCCCAGUCUGUUCUCGUUGCUUCCGGCAGGCGGGGGGGGCCACCUGGCCCCUCCCCCCGCCGGGGGCGGCGGGCCCUCUGAACCUCUAUAUCUCAACCACUGAAACCCGUCUGAGCAAAACAAAAAAUAAUCAAAACUUUCAACAACGGAUCUCUUGGCUCUG
rnacentral:misc_RNA from 1 species